rnacentral:rRNA from 1 species
UACGUAGGGGGCAAGCGUUGUCCGGAAUCAUUGGGCGUAAAGCGCGUGUAGGCGGCUCGAUAAGUCUGCUGUGAAAGUUCAGGGCUCAACCCUGAAAUGCCGGUGGAAACUGUCGAGCUAGAGUCCGGAAGAGGCGAGUGGAAUUCCUGGUGUAGCGGUGAAUGCGCAGAUAUCAGGAGGAACACCAAUGGCGAAGGCAGCUCGCUGGGACGGUACUGACGCUGAGACGCGAAAGCGUGGGGAGCAAACAGG